rnacentral:rRNA from 1 species
CGGACCGGCGCACGGGUGAGUAACACGUAUGGAACCUGCCCUAUGCAGGGGGAUAAGCGGAAGAAAUUCCGUCUAAUACCGCAUAACACCUUUAGGAGACAUCUUCUUGGGGGUCAAAGGAGGCGACUCCGGCAUAGGAUGGCCAUGCGUCGCAUUAGCUAGUCGGCGGGGUAACGGCCCACCGAGGCGACGAUGCGUAGGGGUUCUGAGAGGAAGGUCCCCCACACUGGUACUGAGACACGGACCAGACUCCUACGGAAGGCAGCAG